AUUGAACGCUGGCGGCAGGCUUAACACAUGCAAGUCGAGCGGGGGGAGGUAGCUUGCUACCUAACCUAGCGGCGGACGGGUGAGUAAUGCUUAGGAAUCUGCCUAUUAGUGGGGGACAACAUUUCGAAAGGGAUGCUAAUACCGCAUACGCCCUAAGGGGGAAAGCAGGGGAUCUUCGGACCUUGCGCUAAUAGAUGAGCCUAAGUCGGAUUAGCUAGUUGGUGGGGUAAAGGCCUACCAAGGCGACGAUCUGUAGCGGGUCUGAGAGGAUGAUCCGCCACACUGGGACUGAGACACGGCCCAGACUCCUACGGGAGGCAGCAGUGGGGAAUAUUGGACAAUGGGGGGAACCCUGAUCCAGCCAUGCCGCGUGUGUGAAGAAGGCCUUUUGGUUGUAAAGCACUUUAAGCGAGGAGGAGGCUACCGAGAUUAAUACUCUUGGAUAGUGGACGUUACUCGCAGAAUAAGCACCGGCUAACUCUGUGCCAGCCGCCGCCGUAAAAC
rnacentral:rRNA from 1 species